rnacentral:lncRNA from 1 species
ACGGUGAAAGGUCCUUCCCAUUUGCUCCUCAAUUUUCCAAGCCCGAAUAAUUUGAACCUAGAAUUAAAAAGUAAUACCUUAUCUCCUUGUGCAAAUUCCUUCUUCUUGAUCUUUUUGUCAUGUCAUCUCUUUGUUCGCUCUUUGUAGAUCUUUGAAUUGUACUAUGCCUUCUCUCUCCAUUCUUCUAGUUCUGAUAAUUGCAUUAUUCUUUUCUCUCUAGUGGCUUCAAAAUCCAUAUUCCAUCUUUUGAUAGCCCAAUGAGCUUUAUGUUCUAACUUGAUUAGCAACUGACAAGUCUUACCAUAUACCAAUUGAUAUGGGGACAUACCCAAAUGUGUUUUGUAAGCUACCC